rnacentral:rRNA from 1 species
UACAGAGGAUGCAAGCGUUGUCCGGAAUUAUUGGGCGUAAAGAGCUCGUAGGCGGUCUGUCGCGUCUGCUGUGAAAACUCGGGGCUUAACCCCGGGCCUGCAGUGGGUACGGGCAGACUAGAGUGCGGUAGGGGAGACUGGAAUUCCUGGUGUAGCGGUGAAAUGCGCAGAUAUCAGGAGGAACACCGGUGGCGAAGGCGGGUCUCUGGGCCGUAACUGACGCUGAGGAGCGAAAGCAUGGGGAGCGAACAGG